GCUGGCGUAGCUCAGAUGGUAGAGCAGCUGAUUUGUAAUCAGCAGGUCAGGAGUUCGAUUCUCCUCGCCAGCU
rnacentral:tRNA from 1 species